AUGAUAAGGACUUUGACGUAUUUGCUACAACAACGUUUCAUUUGACAUUAAUUUAGCGGUUCAAAAUCCUCCGAAAAGGAAAUUUAAAAUAUAGUCGACUCCUUAGAUCUCCAUGGUUAUAACAAUGCCUUGGAAUAGGUCAUGGGUUUUAUAGUGCUAUUAUGGGUUUUUCUCCUCUCGUUUGGUGUGUCUGCCGAGCUGACUGACAGCUCUACUGACGACGACCAUCAUCAUCAUCAUGUUGAUCUUCCGAAGGAGAAUGCCUUUAUUGAUGCUAUUUAUAUGCGGUUUGGACACGAUGGAAUUCACAUUGAUGAACAUGGAUUUGAGGAGAUAUUGAAACAGUUGAAAAUAGGGAAGAAAUCUGAAGAUAAUCACGAGGGUCAUGGUCACGAGGGGUCAUGGACACGAUGAAGAAGAACACGAAGAACAUGACGAUGACUCGCAUGCGGAUGAACACUUAAGACGUAGCGCUGAUGGUUUGAACAACAUUGACUCUGAUGGUCAUGAUGAGGAACAUGUACACGAAGACAUGACCAAUGUUACAACAAAUUGUUACACAAGCGCACAUUUUCAAAGGAUUCACCAAGUGAAUGCGUCCCAUGGUAUCAACAAAACUGUCUUCAGACAGAUGUCACCAUCUUUAGUUCAGCAAGUGUUGGACAAACCUUGUGAACAUCACUCACAUAAUCAUCGCACAAGAAACGCACCGACAACUGCCCAAAUAUACGGCUUUGGAACUUUGGCUGUAUUCAUUAUAAGUUUAGCCAGUUUAGGAGGGACAUGUAUUAUUGGUUACAGAAACAAACCUGUAUUUGAUUACAUACUGUCAUUCAUGCUUGCCCUGGGAUUUGCUGCCCUUUCUGGUGACGCAUUUCUGCACCUAAUACCAACGGCACUUGGGCUUCACGUGCACGACCAUGGUGCAGAGUCGGGUACUAUCGUUGUCCAGGAUCACGUCUGGAAGAUGUUAACUGUCAUGGGGAGUGUCUAUCUCUUCUACUUGCUGGAGAUCAUCAUGUCCACUUAUUAUAGUCAUUCACAUGGGCCUGCUGGUAACGAGCAUAAUCAGACACAUAUUCAGUAUAGCAUUGAAGAACGGAAUGAAAAUGAUUACUAUAUGAGUAAGAAAUCUAACUUCAAUAGCGAUACUUCCGAGAAACAUAUGAAUGGGCAUCUUCAAAAUGGAUCUAUUAAAAAGCACAACGAAGCUAAUGGAAACUUGGUACCAACCGCAAGUUCAACGUCAUUGGCAUCUCAGAUGACAGUUGCGUCUACAAAGCCUCUUGUGGAGAACGAAAGUAAAAGCAUCAUCAGCCCUCUUGCUCUCAUGGUCACUGCUGGAGAUGCUAUCCAUAACUUUGCUGAUGGACUUGCAAUUGGAGCGGCUUUCAGUAUUGACAUUAAUAGUGGCAUUUCAACCUCAAUAGCUGUGCUUUGCCAUGAAGUACCCCAUGAAUUUGGUGAUUUUGCUGCUUUGCUGUCAACAGGGAUGAGCUAUAAAAAGGCAAUAGUAAUAACCUUAUUGACACAAAUGACAGCAUUUGUUGGCUUGUACAUCGGAAUAGCCAUAGGACAACAGGCAAACGCUAGACAGUGGAUAUUCGCAGUGACAUCAGGAAUGUUUUUAUACGUUGCACUGACUGAACUGCUGCCAGAACUUGUUAACUACUACAAGCACUUAAAAAACCGAUGCGCUGUUUUGAUUUGUGAAAACCUUGGUAUCCUUCUUGGCACGACUAUUUUACUGCUUAUUGCAAUAUUUGAAGAGCACAUAAGAGUAUAAGCAUCUCGACUUAUGUUUGUAAAUAAUGCAAAACAGUGGACACAAUGAAUGAUAAAUGAUGACUGUACAAGUAUGUAACCAUCGGAUAUUGAUGUUACAUUAUUAAUAGUACAGGGUCGAGUCCCUUCAGCAGUUAAUCCUAUAUAAUUCAUUAAU
rnacentral:misc_RNA from 1 species